rnacentral:rRNA from 1 species
AUUGAACGCUGGCGGCAGGCUUAACACAUGCAAGUCGAACGGUAACAUAAAGAAGCUUGCUUCUUUGAUGACGAGUGGCGGACGGGUGAGUAAUGCUUGGGAAUCUGGCUUAUGGAGGGGGAUAACUACGGGAAACUGUAGCUAAUACCGCGUAGAAUCGGGAGAUGAAAGUGUGGGACCUUCGGGCCACAUGCCAUAGGAUGAGCCCAAGUGGGAUUAGGUAGUUGCUGAGGUAAAGGCUCACCAAGCCGACGAUCUCUAGCUGGUCUGAGAGGAUGACCAGCCACACUGGGACUGAGACACGGCCCAGACUCCUACGGGAGGCAGCAGUGGGGAAUAUUGCGCAAUGGGGGCAACCCUGACGCAGCCAUGCCUGCGUGAAUGAAGAAGGC